rnacentral:rRNA from 1 species
AGUGAACGCUGGCGGUAGGCCUAACACAUGCAAGUCGAACGGCAGCACAGUAAGAGCUUGCUCUUACGGGUGGCGAGUGGCGGACGGGUGAGGAAUACAUCGGAAUCUACUUUUUCGUGGGGGAUAACGUAGGGAAACUUACGCUAAUACCGCAUACGACCUACGGGUGAAAGCAGGGGAUCUUCGGACCUUGCGCGAUUGAAUGAGCCGAUGUCGGAUUAGCUAGUUGGCGGGGUAAAGGCCCACCAAGGCGACGAUCCGUAGCUGGUCUGAGAGGAUGAUCAGCCACACUGGAACUGAGACACGGUCCAGACUCCUACGGGAGGCAGCAGUGGGGAAUAUUGGACAGUGGGCGCAAGCCUGAUCCAGCCAUACCGCGUGGGUGAAGAAGGCCUUCGGGUUGUAAAGCCCUUUGUUGGGAAAGAAAAGCAGCAGGUUAAUACCCCGCUGUUCUGACGGUACCCAAAGAAUAAGCACCGGCUAACUUCGUG